rnacentral:rRNA from 1 species
UACAGAGGGGGCAAGCGUUGUUCGGAAUUACUGGGCGUAAAGGGCGCGUAGGCGGCCUUCUAAGUCGAACGUGAAAUCCCCGGGCUCAACCCGGGAACUGCGUCCGAUACUGGAAGGCUUGAAUCCGGGAGAGGGAUGUGGAAUUCCAGGUGUAGCGGUGAAAUGCGUAGAUAUCUGGAGGAACACCGGUGGCGAAGGCGGCAUCCUGGACUGGUAUUGACGCUGAGGCGCGAAAGCUAGGGGAGCAAACGGG